ensembl:misc_RNA Y_RNA Y RNA
GGCUGGUCCAAAGGUAGUGAGUUAUCUCAAUGAAUUGUUGACUGUCAGUUACUGAUCAAACUCCUUGUUUACCCUUUUACCUCUUCUCACUACUGUAGUUGGCUAGUCUUAA